rnacentral:rRNA from 1 species
CUUAGAAGUCCGCCGCCUUAAACACCACAAACCCGCCCAACAAAACCCGCUAAACCAUUCGCCAUGCUAAGUAUAGGAGAUAGAACUGCACCCCGCGCGCAAUAGCCAACAGUACCACAUGGGAACACUGAAAGACAAUUAACCACUCAAGCGUAAAAAAGCAGGGAUGAACCCCCGUACCUCUUGCAUCAUGGUCUAACAAGCCCUGCCCAGAUAAAGUGCACUAUAACCUGCCCCCCCGAACCCAGACGAGCUACCCCGGGCCAAUCAAUAAUGGAUUUACCCCAUCUCUGUGGCAAAAGAGUGGAACCAGCCCCGGGUAGUGGUGAAACGCCUAUCGAGCCUGGUGAUAGCUGGUUGCUCAUUAAACGAAUAUAAGUUCGACUCUAGUCACCCAUUCCCGCCACCACUACGCCCUUGUAAACAACUAGAAGCUACACAGUUAGGGAACAGCCUAACUGUGCCCGGACACAGCCCAACUCGCUGGGUCAGCCCAAUCCAACACCGCCCCGUAGGCCUCCAAGCAGCCAGCCCUAAAAAUCGCGUCAAAGCAAAACACACAAAAAUUUCCUACGAUUCCCCAAACCCUCCUACAAAACUGAGCCCCUCUAGCCAAACCUAGAGGAGAUAAUGUUAGAACUAGUAAUAAGAGGCCCCCUCUCUCCCCGCACUGCCUUUCGCCGGCACGGAUAACCCACCGGCAAUUACCAACCACACCCCCCACAACACUAACAAACUGUCACCCCAACACAGGCGUGCCUAAAAGAGCCGGCAAACCGCCAUAGAAGGAACUCGGCUAAAAUGCCCCACCUGUUUACCAAAAACAUGGCCUUUAGCAUACCAAGUAUUAAAGGUCCCGCCUGCCCAGUGAACCACUUUUAAACGGCCGCGGUAUUCUAACCGUGCAAAGGUAGCGUAAUCACUUGCCCUUUAAAUAGGGGCUUGUAUGAACGGCUAAAUGAGGGCCUAACUGUCUCCUAUGGCAAGCCAAUGAAACUGCUCUCUCAGUACAAAAGCUGAGAUGUACCCACAAGACGAGAAGACCCUGUGGAGCUUUUAAACACCACACUAACCCCCCCCACUCAAUCAUAGUGCAAACUUUAAGUUGGGGCGACUGCGGAGCAAAACAUAACCUCCAUGUAACAGGACCAUCGUCCAUUACAGGCCUACAAGCCAAAAUUAUAACCAACCACUUGACCCAGCAUUGCUGACCAACGGCCCAAGUUACCCCAGGGAUAACAGCGCCAUCCUCCCCAAGAGUCCCUAUCGCCAGGAGGGUUUACGACCUCGAUGUUGGAUCAGGGCACCCAGGUAGUGCAGCCG